UUCUUUUUUGGCUCAGUCAGUAGAGCAUUGUGCUCACAACGCAACAGUUGUGGGUUCAAACCCCAGGGAAA